UACAGAGGGAGCAAGCGUUGUUCGGAAUUACUGGGCGUAAAGGGCGCGUAGGCGGUUCGAUAAGUCCCGUGUGAAAUCCCUCGGCUCAACUGAGGAAUUGCACGGGAAACUGACGGGCUUGAGUUCGGGAGAGGGAAGCGGAAUUCCGGGUGUAGCGGUGAAAUGCGUAGAUAUCCGGAGGAACACCGGUGGCGAAGGCGGCUCCCUGGACCGACACUGACGCUGAGGCGCGAAAGCUAGGGGAGCAAACGGG
rnacentral:rRNA from 1 species